rnacentral:rRNA from 1 species
AUUGAACGCUGGCGGCAUGCUUUACACAUGCAAGUCGAACGGCAGCGCGGGCUUCGGCCUGGCGGCGAGUGGCGAACGGGUGAGUAAUGCAUCGGAACGUGCCCAGUAGUGGGGGAUAGCCCGGCGAAAGCCGGAUUAAUACCGCAUACGACCUGAGGGUGAAAGCGGGGGGCCGAAAGGCCUCGCGCUAUUGGAGCGGCCGAUGUCGGAUUAGCUAGUUGGUGGGGUAAAGGCUUACCAAGGCGACGAUCCGUAGCUGGUCUGAGAGGACGACCAGCCGCACUGGGACUGAGACACGGCCCAGACUCCUACGGGAGGCAGCAGUGGGGAAUUUUGGACAAUGGGGGCAACCCUGAUCCAGCCAUGCCGCGUGCGGGAAGAAGGCCUUCGGGUUGUAAACCGCUUUUGUUCGGGAAGAAAUCCUCUGGGCUAAUACCCCGGGGGGAUGACGGUACCGGAAGAAUAAGCACCGGCUAACUACGUG